rnacentral:lncRNA from 1 species
AUCAAUUCCUUCAGUGUUUUACGCCCCUCACUGUGAGCGGACCAAGGUCACCGUGGAGCUCCGUGUGGUGGGGUUCGGCAAGGAGGUGGCGCUGAAGCAGCGGCGGCGGAUGCGCCGGAGACUUCGCCUGGGCGAGGAGGAGCACGCGACCAUCUUGCUCAUGGCGCUCUUCUCCGACGUCGUGUACGCCUGACUUUGCUACCCCUCGUCGCCCGCCGAGAUGCCACGCCCAGAGGUUAGCAGAUGCACAUUGCAGUAUUGAUAAAUCAGCAUGCUAACUGGAGUUUUGUUUUAGAAUCUUUUUUAUGAUGACCUUGCAACAAUAUAUUCAGAUAUAUGAUUUUACCAUAAACACUCCAUCUCGGAUCAGUAUGUGUAAUUCUAUUGUACUAGAAGUGCAGAAGCUAUAGAGAUACAUUUAGUUCAGCUUAACCAUAUUUUGUGUUCUUAACUGUCAAAACAUAUAUGUGUUGUAUUCUUAGUAUUAUUUGUGCACCAUCUUCUAUUGUAUAAGCCAGAAGAAUUUGGAGAGUGGUCAGUCCAUGAUUUCAUGGUUAUACCAAUUUGGAGAGGUUCGUCACCUCCACAACGCCCUCAAUGAUCCACAGUACUUGCCC